rnacentral:rRNA from 1 species
GACGAACGCUGGCGGCGUGCUUAACACAUGCAAGUCGAACGGAAAGGCCCUGCUUUUGUGGGGUGCUCGAGUGGCGAACGGGUGAGUAACACGUGAGUAACCUGCCCUUUACUUUGGGAUAACUUCAGGAAACUGGGGCUAAUACCGUAUAGGAGCUCCUGCUGCAUGGUGGGGGUUGGAAAGUUUCGGCGGUUGGGGAUGGACUCGCGGCUUAUCAGCUUGUUGGUGGGGUAGUGGCUUACCAAGGCUUUGACGGGUAGCCGGCCUGUGAGGGUGACCGGCGACAUUGGGACUGAGAUACGGACCAGACUGCUACGGGAGGCAGCAGUGGGGAAUAUUGCACAAUGGGCGGAAGCCUGAUGCAGCAACGCCGCGUGCGGGAUGACGGCCUUCGGGUUGUAAACCGCUUUCGCCUGUGACGAAGAGUGAGUGACGGUAAUGGGUAAAGAAGCACCGGCUAACUACGUG